rnacentral:misc_RNA from 1 species
AGCAGCCGCGGUAAUUCCAGCUCCAAUAGCGUAUAUUAAAGUUGUUGCAGUUAAAAGCUCGUAGUUGAAUUUCGGAAUCAAUUUAUUGGUCGUGCAAUAGUACGUACUGGUUUUAUUGGUUCCUCCCUUCUGAUGAACCAUGAUGUCAUUAAUUUGGUGUUAUGGGGAAUCAGGACUGUUACUUUGAAAAAUUGAGUGUUUAAAGCAGGCUCACGCUUGAAUACAUUAGCAUGGAAUAAUGAGAUAGGACGUUUGAUUCUAUUUUGUUGGUUUCUAGGAUCGACGUAAUGAUUAAUAGGGAUAGUUGGGGGCAUCAGUAUUCAAUUGUCAGAGGUGAAAUUCUUGGAUUUAUUGAAGACUAACUACUGCGAAAGCAUUUGCCAAGG